rnacentral:lncRNA from 1 species
AGUAUGACUGGUGUCUUUAUAGGAAGAGGACGAGACCCCAGGGACACACGUGCACAGAGAAAAGGCCAUGGGAGGAUACAGCAAGAAGGCAGCCAUUCGCAUUUCAGAGAGACUCAGAAGAAACCAGCUCUGCCCACACCUUGAUCUCAGCCUUCCAGCCUCCAGGACUUUGAGAAGGCUCCCACCACAAAGACCUGCCACAGCUCCAGCCUCCACUGGAUGACUCCACUCUGGACCCAGAUGAUUAGUUUCACAUGAAAUUGUAAGAAGGAAUACAGAGAGCAGCCACGUACGCUUUCCCUAGUUUCCUGAAAUGGUAACAUUUUGCAAAAUUCCGGUGGACUAUCACAACCAGGUUCUUGACGUUGAUGCAGUCCACAGGCUUUAUCCCGAUUGGCCCAGUUGUACUUGGACUCCUUUGUAUGUGUGCCUGUGUAUUUGGUUCUUUGCAAUCUCAUCUGUGUAGGUUAGCAUUCCCUCUGCCCCUCCACCCCACAGUGGAGAUAAAGAACAAUUCCAUCCCCACAAGGAUCCAUCCAAUUGCUUUUUUAUAACCCCGCCUACCUCCCUCUCAACUCACUCAUUCUCUCUCCUCCCUAACCCCUGGCAACCUCUAACCUGUUCUCCGUUCUAUAAUUUUGUCAUUUCAAGAAGGUUAUGCACCAUUUGGAUUGGCUUUUGUCACUCAGCAUAAUUCUCUGGGAUUCCUCCAGCUGUUGCCUGUAUCAAUAGUUUGUUUCUUCUUAUUACUAAGUGGUACGCGAUGGCAUGGAUGUAUCACAGUCUGUUUAACUAUUUACCUGUUGAAGGACAUCAGGGCUGUUUCCAGGCUUUGGCUACUACAAAUAAAGCUGCUAUAAACAUUUGUGUAUCGA